UACGGAGGCCCCAAGCGUUGUUCGGAUUUAUUGGGCGUAAAGGGUGCGUAGGCGGCGUGGUAAGUCUGGUGUGAAAGGCGGGGGCUCAACCCUCGGACUGCAUUGGAUACUGCCAUGCUAGAGGACUGGAGAGGAGAAUGGAAUUCACGGUGGAGCAGUGAAAUGCGUAGAUAUCGUGAGGAAGGCCAGUGGCGAAGGCGAUUCUCUGGACAGUAACUGACGCUGAGGCACGAAGGCUGGGGGAGCGAACAGG
rnacentral:rRNA from 1 species